rnacentral:misc_RNA from 1 species
AAGUCGUAACAAGGUAACCGUAGGUGAACCUGCGGUUGGAUCAUUACUGAUUUUACCUAUCCAAGUUGAUACCGAAAGGAGUCCUUGGAUGGGAAUAACACCUGUGCACUGUAUCGUUUUUGGGUCAGUCGGUACUCCCGGUCUGGCCCAGCAUAAAACACCAUAAAUAUUUUUGCCUGAAUCUGUAUCAAAUCAUAAACAA